rnacentral:rRNA from 1 species
CUGUGGUCUAAGUUCCUUGGAACAGGACGUCGCAGAGGGUGAGAAUCCCGUAUGUGGCCGCCAGUCUUCGCCGUGUAAAGCCCCUUCGACGAGUCGAGUUGUUUGGGAAUGCAGCUCUAAAUGGGAGGUAAAUUUCUUCUAAAGCUAAAUAUUGGCCAGAGACCGAUAGCGCACAAGUAGAGUGAUCGAAAGAUGAAAAGCACUUUGGAAAGAGAGUCAAAAAGCACGUGAAAUUGUUGAAAGGGAAGCGCUUGCAGCCAGACUUGCUUGCAGUUGUUCAGCCGGGCUCUUGCCCGGUCUACUCUUCUGCUCGCAGGCCAGCAUCAGUCCGGGCGGUUGGAUAAAGGCCUAUUAAACGUACCUCCCCUCGGGGAGGACUUAUAGGGUAGGUGACAUGCAACCAGCCCGGAUUGAGGUCCGCGCAUCUGCUAGGAUGCUGGCGUAAUGGCUGUAAGCGGCCCGUCUUGAAACACGGACCAAGGAGUCUAACAUCUAUGCGAGUGUUUGGGUGUCAAGCCCGAGCGCGUAAUGAAAGUGAACGGAGGUGGGAACCUUUCGGGGUGCACCAUCGACCGAUCCUGAUGUCUUCGGAUGGAUUUGAGUAAGAGCAUAGCUGUUGGGACCCGAAAGAUGGUGAACUAUGCCUGAAUAGGGUGAAGCCAGAGGAAACUCUGGUGGAGGCUCGCAGCGGUUCUGACGUGCAAAUCGAUCGUCAAAUUUGGGCAUAGGGGCGAAAGACUAAUCGA